UGAGAAGGGAUGGCCAUGGAUAUCACCCAAGCCCUUUUAUCUUCUUUUAUGUCAGUAGAUUCAACGGUGCGGAGUGAGGCGAUGGGCGCGCUUAAGAAAUUUGAAGAAGAUAAUCCAGAAUAUUAUCUUCUGUCCUUGGUGGUUGAGUUAUCUAAUGACACAAAGCCGGAUGCAAGUCGUAAGUUGGCUGGAAUAAUGUUAUUGGACUUGAUACCGAAUUUUGCUGCGCGCCCGGCAUUUGAGUUUUUUGAGGAUGAUGAAAGUGAAGACGAUGAGGAGGGAGAUGUUGAACAUGUUGACGAAGACGGUGAGGAGGAAAGUGAUGAUCAAAUUAAAGUUGAAUAUCCGGAGUCUGAUGAAAGUGAAUACGAAGAUGAUGAGGAGGAAGAUGAUGAUGAUGUUGAAGACGUAGAUGAUGAGGAAGAUGAUGAUGAUGUUGAAGACGUAGAUGAUGAGGAGGAAGAUGAGGAGGCGUAUAAGAGGGAGUUCGAGUUGAGGAACAAAAUUAUGAAAUUUUCUGUUUAUUGGCGUAAAAUGGAUGUGGUUAUAAAAUCCGAAAUCAAACAACGGCUGUUAGAUACUCUCGGAGCUGUCCAUUUGGUUAAUGGGAGGAGGCAUCAUGCUUCCGAAACCGCCUCCCAACUUAUAGCAAGGAUUGCACGCAUUGGGCCUAAAUUGAAGUGGUUUGGAUUUUUUGAUAAAUUGAACAUGAAUUUGAAACCAAACAAAUCCGAAACAUUGAAACAUGCCACAUUAGAAGUCUUCGAGGGUUUUUUCAGCGACAUGCACUUUGUAGUUGGUGAAUUUGGAAAGAAUCCCGACAAGGUCAAAUCCGUAAUUAAAGCCAUAGUUCAGGUGAUGAAUGGGGAUCAGAUUUGCUCACAAAUUCUAUUGGCGGCUACUAAGACUUUGAAGAAUAUCUUUGGGGGCAUGUAUCACCACCGUAGGGAUGCGGGUAGUCAGAAAUAUUGGUGGAAGCCGGACUUUUCAGCAAAGGUAAUUUGUAAGGCAGUAUUGGCGGAAAUGUGUGAUGUUAGACGUUUUGCUCUAACGUGUCUUAGAUUUUUCAAGAAAAUUGUGCCUCUGCCUGAGAUUUUUAUGCAGGUUAUAUUUGAGCUGACAACUAACUCAUUCCUACUCACAACUGAGGCUGAAGCUAAACUUGAUGUGCAGCGAAAGUUUGAGCGCGUGCCAAAGUUCCGCAAACUGUAUCCUAAUUUAGAUGUUUGGUCACCUCUGAUUCAAAUGUACCUGAAUCUGCUGAAGCAUGAUGAAGACCAAAAUAUUUUUAUAGCCAGCAAGGCCUGCGUUUGUCUUUUGGCUAGGAUUGUUAAGGAUGAUGUCCUUGAACCCGUGAUAAAUUUUAUCGAAGGAAAUUUUUCGAAUUCUGAUUGGCAGUCUCGUAAAGCUGUAGCCCAUGCCUAUUGCUUAAUUCUUGAAGGGCCCAGUAUCGAGAAACUUUUGGGAGUAGUAAAACCAACAUUAUAUAUUCUACUUCUUCUAAUGAAAGAUGAAAUCGAUCAUGUAAAGUACACAACUGCAUGUACUCUCAGUCGUAUGUUUGAGUUAUUGCAUUCUCCUGGAUAUUCUCUUAUACCUCUCAAAAAUUUUGGAUUUUCAAAAAGAGUUGUCGUCAUUCUGUUGGAAAGCUUAGAAUGUGCUCCUUGUAUAUCCAAAGAGAUAUGUAGAUCUAUAUGUGCCAUUGCUCGUACAAGUGCAUUUCUGUUGUCUUCUGAUCUUCCCAAUAUUGUAAAAUCUCUUGUACAAACUGCAGGUAGAAGAGAUGGUGACUCUGAACUCCGUGUUGUUGCAUAUGAGACCUUGAGGGUGGUGAUUGGAUAUUCUGCUGAAAAAGAUUUCUGUGAAAUAAAAGAUCUGCCUGCUGUUAUGUUCGAGUUGUUAGAGACAGCUGUGCUUAAAACUGGAUCAUCAGAUGAUAGGGAAAUACAAGAACAUUUGCAAGCUUCAGAUUUACAAGCUUCGUUUUUUGGAGUCCUUCAAGUAAUUAUUCGGAGGAUGGGUGAUGUUGAUAACAUGGAGCCUGUCAUUCUCCAAGUUGGUGAUAAGGUAAUAUCAUUGUUCUUUGGUUCCCAAUGCAGUGGACGUAAAGUACAAAAAGAAGAAAUGCUUGUUAUAGGCGCUCUAGCUUGUGCAGCUAAAACAGAGUUUGUGAAAUAUAUGCCAGACUUGUACCCGUAUGUGUUAAUGGGGCUGCAGAAUGUAGAGGAAUAUCAGGCAUGUUCCACCUCAGUUGGUGUUGUUGGGCAAAUUUGUGUUGCUUUGCGUAAAGAGUUUCUACCGUACUGUUCUUGUAUCAUGAUCCGUUUGAAGGAUCUCACUAGCAGUGAAGUAAAGAAGUCAGUAACACCUAUUGUUUUCUUGUGCUAUGGGAAUAUAGCUAAAUCGAUUGGAGAACACUUUAAGAAUUACUAUCAGGAUGUGGUAAAAAUAAUGCAGGAUGCUUCAGAUCUGCAUGUCUAUUCGGACAACAGUGAUGACAUGGUUGAAUAUGGGGAUCGGCUGAGGCAGAGCAUAUUUGAGGCUUUUACUUGUAUAUUAAUAGGACUCGGUGAUUCCAAUGCUGAUUUAUUGUUGCCUUAUGUUCCUUACAUGCUGCAGUUAAUACAAAAACACAAACCAAGGUAAAAGUUUUUGUUAGUAAUUUUUAUGCAAUUUCUUGUUUACUUCUUAUAGCUCACUUGCGGACAACCUUGCUUAAUUACAAUGUUCAUUUGCAGGGAUAAGGGACGUAUGAGAACAGCCGUCAAAUUGCUGAAGGAACUAGCUGUUUGUUCAAAAAUUAAGGGAUCACUGAAGGUGCAUUCUGAUAUAUUAUUAACAGAGCUUCAACAAUCGGACAAUGAGGAGCUGAGGCAGACUGCAGCUUGGACACAACAGGAGCUUGGUGGAACUCACUGAUUUGUUGAACAAAAAGCCUUCUCUUCUCUAAUUUCUUUUUCAUUAGUACUGAAGGUCAGCACAGCAUGUUAUUAAACUUGGCUCUAGUCUAGUAUCAUUCAGUUGCAAGUUUUUGGGAUGCAGAUAUGUACUGAUCAUUAUCAAAGUGACUACAAUACUAACUGUGCUUUAAUUCUAGAAAGAGGUUACCUAGUGGGAUUUAUGUGUUAACUUGGCAUAAGUAAGAAUCCAAAUCUAUCAAGAUCUUUUUUCUUUCACAAUUAUCUUGUCAAGUCUUUGUUAAUGCAAAUGGUGGGUUAAAUGUUAGGGUUGCUGUUGAUUCCGCACUCGGUUCUUGCCCCUAAAGUUGCAGUGAGAUAACUUUCACUUCCUUUGUAUACAUAUGCUGUCCUUUUAAGCAUUCUUCUUAGGACCUUUGCUUUCACCUUAGUUCAAACUCGUAUAAAUCUUCAGCGUAACAUGUUAAUCGAUGGCUUCAUCCAUCUGUUUAUUCUACCCGUAUAUAUGUUUAGAGGGCGAAUCUUAUUUCUUAUUUCUUACUAUAGACUGCCUCGCCUUUUUUCUUCUUUAUUUUGUUCGAUUUCGUUCUUCUUUCUUCACCUUUUUAACCUCUUUUUAUUUUGUUCUCAGUGCGCAAUCAGCUCCUAAUUUACUGCAUGUAGUUAGUUUUGUAUCCGAGGAUAACCCAACACAAUCUUUCUCCUCAAGUUUGUAUUAGCGAGUUGGUGAAUGGAUUGCGUGUGAUCAAAAUAAUGAACCAGGAAACAUUGCGAACUUGGGGUAGCUAGAAUAUUAUAAACCAAUUGUCCACUAAAAAUUAAGUGAUAAUAAAAAAGCUAGAAUAUUUAUAAAGCGCAAUAUACUUACAAGUUAAAUAAUAAAACUUUAUGACUGUAUGAAUAAAAGACGUUCACAAUCGUUUUUCUCAAUGUGCUUCAUUCCCAUGACAGAAACUAAAGUCUGCGUGUACCCAAUGCCAUAUGCAACAGCGAGACAAUCAACGUCAAAGGCAUGGCUGUUACUGCGGAGUAGUGCAUGAGUUUUUGGAUCAAAACGCAAACAUCUGUAUUCUUUGUAAUCACUAAAAAAUAAAUCACCAUUCCUAAAACAUUGAACGAUAUGCAUCCGUCUUGUCAAACUAAUUGGUCCAACCGUGUACAUCUUAUUCCAGGUUUCACCAUUUGUUUCAUUGAGAGCAUAAACAUCGACAGAUGUAGUUUUGUCCCAACAAUAUUCAUGGACUAAGCAAACAAGAAGAUUGUUCAAAUUCCCUGUAGCCAUCUUUUGGUUGGGCAAAAGAUCUGGGGCAUGAAACAACCUAAAAACUUCAUGUCCUAUAUCAAAUGAGAUGACAUCAUGUUUUCUUCCAUAUGCCAUACUGUAAUUCCAAUAAACCCUAUUACCGACAGUUAUGGCAUAUUUAAAAAGUUCACCAUUCUCUAAUUCGAAACUAGAAGAAACAUUGAUAUGAGCCCAAGAACGAGCAUUACAAGAGUAGACAUCAGCUACCACCUGCCCAGGUUUGUUAGCUUUAUUUUUAUUUCGAGUCUUGAUGAUGUAGAUCACUUUAUAAUCCUUUUUAAUCGAAUCAAAAACAAACGCGAAAGAGAAAUCACCUGCCUUGAUAUUAUAUGCAUUCAAGGGAGGACGAACAUCCUUGUAGCGAUGAGUUGCAGGGUUCCAAAUCCCGAUACAUGGUAUUGAUUUCGACUUAUCAUUGUAACUGUACAGACACACUAAGCCAUUCACUGAACCAGCCAGCACCAUGCCCGACGACAACAGAGGAUAGUCAAAUUCAUUCACUGGACCAACUUUGCUACACACAAAUAGAGGAAAGUUGAAGAUAUUGUCUUCGGAGAUAUGCUUAUGGCGGAGUGUAGGGUGACACCUGAUAAUCACUCUGUCAUUACUGGGAUCCAUUACGCUGCGAGCGACAUGAGCUUUUAUAAAGAUCGGAUCACGAGAGAUGAGAAAUUGCCAAGAUUUACAGACACAUUGAAAUUGCAUGAGGAUUUUCACAGGCAGUCGGGUUAGAAUCUCAAACCGGAUUAUAUCAUCAGGAAUAAUGGAAAUCUUAUCCAUGUUCAUGUGCACGUCGCCUCUGGAUAGCUUAGCUUAUCAAAUAUCGUCGUUAUGUAUCUUUUCCUUCUGAGAUAUGGUGAAAAGCCUCUGGUUCAAAACCAAACCCUACCAAAAUAUAUAGGAGUAAUUUAGACUUUCCAUGUUCUAAAUUUGUAAGAAUUAGUUUUUCUAAACCAAAUAAAAGUAGGUUUGUAAAAAUAGAAAUAAUUUUAUAAUCAGAAUAUGAUUUUGAAGUUCCACGAUCCCCACUAGCAAGUUCCGAACUAAGAGGUUGUUUGAUAAAACUGAAUAAAAAAUGCUGAGUCAUUAAAUUUGCUGAAUACAUUGAAUGAAGAAUUUACCUGAAUGAAAAAUUUACUGAAAGAAAUUUAUUGUUUGAUAACAAUCAUAUUAAAACAUCUGAAUGACAAUAUAUUUAUCAUUUUAACCUUAUAAUUCCAACAUACAUCAUAAAUCAUCCAAAAUUAUAACAAAUAUAAUUUUAUUCAAAAUUAUAAAAAAAGUAUAAUCUUAUCCAAAAUUAUAAAAAUUACAAAAAUGUAAAUCAUUCGGAAUUAUUAAAAAAUUAUAAUUUUGGAUAAAUUUUUAUAAUUUUGGAUGAUUUAUGAUGUUAAAUUUUUUAUAAUUUUUAUAAUUUUGGAAUUUUAUCCAUAACUAUAAUUUCAAAAUUAUAUUUUUAAAUUUUAUCUAAAACACAUCAUAAAUCAUCCAAAAUUUUUAUCUAAAAUCUUAAAAAAAUUAAUCCAAAAUUAUAAAAAUCAUCCAAAAUUUUUAUAAUUUUAUAUAUUUAUAGCCCAUAUCAAGAUUAAUCAAUUCCUUUUUUUUUAAAGAAAAGUGACGGGCACCUGAUAAUACACUGUUAAAGCAGCUAGCAUAAACGCAGGAAGAGUGAAAAUUAAGUGUGUUUUGGUUUCAUUAAGCAUGUUUGAUAAUCUGUUGAAAAAAUUAAAUCUCUGACCGAAUAAGUAAAAUGGCCAUUAAGAGGCUAUUAAGAGUUAUCAAACACCCCCUAAGAAAAACAGCUAAGCGAUUUUAUGUUUUAACAAGAUGAAAAUCUUAACUUGUGACAAUAAUAAAAAAAAAGAUAUCUUAACUUUAAUCAUGUAUAUAUGAACUUAUACAAUAUUAGUAAGAUAAUGCAAAAAUUAAAUUUGAUAUUAUAUUAUAUAAAUAUAUUGAUAUAAAUAUAUAUUUUUAAAUUAUCCAAUUUUUAAAAUAUAUACAUAUUUUUGAUAAAAAUCUAGGCAUGUCACUUAUAUUCAACACAAAGCAUUAAAAUUUUGGCUGAUUUGUUCGCCAAUCGGUAUCUGAAUUACGAGCCUCCUUAAUUUAUAACAUAUUUUAACGCAUAUUUAUUAUUAUUAUAAUUGAAGUAUAUUUCUGAAUAUUAUUAUCGACACAUAUAUUCAGACUAAUUUUUAAUUAAUAUUUUUGAUAAGCUUAGCCAUAUAAGUAUUUCGUACUCCUUAAUUCAUUACAUACUUUUUUUAUUACCACUAAAUAUUCACGCUUAAGGACCUCAUUAAUUUAUAACAUAUUAUAAUAAUUAUGUGUUAUAGUUAAAACAAAAUUAAAAUUCUCAUCAAAACAUAUGUAGUGAGACUAGUUCAUGUGCACGUCGCCCAUAGUUUCACGCUUGUGCUCAAACUUUACAUUAAAUUACAAAAAGUUGGCCCAUAGUUCUUUCGGUUUUUGAAAGUGUAGCCUUGGUUACUCGUUAAAAUUUGUCAUAAACUUACAUAAUUUCAAAAUAAAUUUUAGAACUGUGAUCAAAUUUUGCACUGAGUUACCAGAAUUUGGUCCAAUAUUUGUAUAGUUACCCGUGUAUGCGUACAAAAUCAUUCAAAAAUUUAUUAAAUAUUAAUUAUACAUCUAUUUUUAAUUUAUCUUCUAAAUUUUAUAAUUAUAAUAAAAUAUUAUCAAAUUUCAAAAAAUAGGGGAACGUAGAAUAAUUCUUUUUAUCACAUUUUAUAUGACAAUUUUUAAUUGAUUUCAUCCCGGAAAUAAUAACGAGCCCCCUAUAUGCACACUAAUUUUCAAAUAAAAUUAGUCUUCUAACUAAAAUCGGCCAAUUUAAUAUUUAAUAAUGAAUUUAUGUGUCUUUUAUUAUUUUAAUAUUUUUAAAAAAAAUAUAAUAAUUAAAAUUGUAAUACAAUAUAUGAGUAAAAUAAAAUAUAUAAUACGAUUUGAAUUCUAUAAUUAGUAAUUAAUGUAUUGGUGGUGUAUUGUCUACCAAAAAACUGCAUCCUAUCAGUUACUACCGAGAUGCAUUAAAUAUAUUUUAACAUGUGCCGUUAGGGCAUAGGUUAACUGGCCUCGCAGCAAGUCCAACAAUGUUUUAGGAAGUGUUUUAAAAAUAUAAUAUAAAAUGGGUUUGUCUAGUGUGUGCCCAAGGGCACAUGCUAAGCACCAAAUUCUAUAAAUUUGGUGGAUUUUUAUUGGUGUGGUUGGUGAAUUUGCAGGGGGUCCACCAUUAUAGAGAAUUGCAAGCCAAUAAAAAUCACCCAAACUUAUGAAUUUUAGUGCUUAGCGUGUGCCCAUGGGCACACACUAGAAAAACCGAUAUAAAAUAGUGUCCUAGUGAUUUAGGACAUCUUUUUGAUACAUGAACUCCAAUAAUAUUUCUCAUAAUUGUGCUUUAUUAUUAAACUAAUAAUUUAUUUGAAUUAGUAUUGGAGAGAAGUGAAAAGGUAAGAGGAAAGAGAUUUAUUGAAAUAGUGGGAAAUUAAUAUUUUAGUGUGAAAAUUGGUUUAGGAUAUGCUUAGAGCAACUCCAGUAGCUUAGCUAUUUAGAGUCUUAAACCAAAAUAUGAGAAAUAUGGGGAAAAAAAAUCUACUACAACAGUAUCCUAGUGAUUCCCUAAAUCACUAAGAUGCAUUAGCCAUGCCUUAUUUUUAGCUAACCUCCCUCCUCUCCUAAAUCUAUUUUAUUAUAAAUUUUGAAAACAAGCACGUUCAUUCUAUUCAUCUAUUGUAAUAAUGAUAAUUUUUAAUAAUAAAAUAGCGUAUAAAGAAUGAAUAUAAGGAAUAUUGUUGGAGGUGGAAAUAAUUAUUAUUAUCUUAAGUUAUUAGGAUCUAAUAUUUUAUAUUAUAUUUAAGGAAUGUGUUAAAAUGCUGUUGAAGUUGCUCUUAGUGGUGCCUCAAAAAUAGACACUUAUUGGAUGUUGAUUUAAAGGACAUUGUUGAAACACACGUUUAAUUCAAAUAUCUUAAAUUUUAAUUUAAAACACCAAUUUUAAAACGAGGGAUAAGGCAUGUGCACAUAUUACAGUCAGUUAUCCUCGUCACCUUUUUUAACAAUAGUGCUACGUGCACAAAAUUGUAUAGACCACAUAUUAUUAUGUACAAAAUUUUGUACACAUUCAUGUGCAUCAAAUUUUUAUUUAUUUUAAACUCCUGAUAUUGGCUUCAUUGCCUAGGCUUCAUAAUACAUAAAUUAUAUUUAGUUGAUUUCACUUAAAAAAUAUUUUUAUUAUUAGUUUUGAAAGAUAAUAAAAUUUAUAAAUUAGAACAAAGUUCUAUGUAGUCCACAUAUUUACUGUAGUACCGUAAACCACAUAUGUUCUGCAACUAUAGAAUGACAUAAAAACAUUGCAAAAUGUGUUAUUUUGCAAAUCAUGUUCUAUAAACAUCAUUAUUUUGUUAAAAAAAUUGAUAAUCCUAAACAUUCUACAAAUUAAAUAGUGAAAAAUACACUAUUCUGCAAAACAUGUUAAGUUUGCAGAACAUAUUUACAUAUUACAGAACAUAUGUGUUCUACUUGUCGAACAUAAAUGAUUUUCAAUAUUUUUCAUGAAAUAGUGAUAUUUAUAGAAUGUAUUUCACAAAAUAACAAGUUUUAUACAUUUUGCAAUGUUUUUAUGCCAUCUUAUAGUUGCAGAACAUACGUGGUCUACGGUACUACAGUAGAUUUGUGGACUACAUGGAACUUAAUUAUUGUAUAAAAAUUAAUACUUUGAUAAAUAUCCUUGAUUUUUGAAACAAAGGUGUUAAUCUAAUAAUAAAAAACCAUACAGCAUCUACACCAAUGAUCAAGUCGAACAAACAGUAAUUUGCAAUCGCCUGUUCUCAUAAAGAGACAGUUAAACGAUAUUUUGAAGAAAAUGUAUAUACAAAUACAAGUAACCGCUUCAUGCACCUUCGUUGAAUUACUGGUACCCUCUUCAUCAAGCCCUGACAGAGUUAUCGUUUGAGCUAUCGACCAAAACGGCGAUUCCAUACAAACUUUCAUCACCAAAUCAAGACCCCGCUUACAAUUAAGAAGCGAAAAACAAAACUCUCACCAGGGAGAGAAAACAACUUUAGAUCUGAAGCAGAACCAUAGAAACAAGAGAAGUCUGAUUGAAAAUCCACCCGCUUGAAACAGAGAAGAAAUACAACGAAAUCUCCGAUGGUUUUUAGAUCUAAGAAUUCUCUCGAGAAUAGAUCCGGAACAGAACCACAAAAACAAGAGAAAUCAGACUAAAACUCAUCCGCUUGGAAGAGAGACAGCGAAAUCUCCGAUAGUUUUAGAUCUAAAUUUCCCGAGAAGAUGUGUUAUUCAAAAACUAGGAAGAAAAACAAAGAAAUCAAGUGAUUCGGGACUUUCCACCGGUGAAAACCGAUGGAAACCCAAGGCGGCUGUGACAAAGGAGAGGCCAGAGAGUAUCAGGGUUUUACUAUUUUAAUUACUUUUUAUGAAUUGACAUUAAAUAUCCUUGAUUUUUAAUAUUCAACAGGAGUUUAUAUUGGACAUUAUUUACGGGGAUUCUACUGUACAAGAGAAUUAUGUGUGGAUUUAAAUAGACGACUACCGAUUAGAAACGUUCUAUUUCGUGUCUUGCUGUUACUGGUCACGGCUCCAUCACUCCCAUUUUGUAGGGUUUAUCACUUAAUAUUCCAUCUCCUUGAGGUACCUUUCAACUCAUUUUCAGCCGGAAUUAAGUGACAAACAUGCCUGUAUAGAUCAGAUGAUGUGUAUGUAUAUUAUAUCGCUUUUUUGUUUUAGUAUGAUCUGAUUUGUAUUGGUUUAAGCAAUUCAAUGAGCCUUUACAUUGUAAUCUACUUGAUUGUGCACUUAAUUGUGUUUUAUUUACUUAAUCUACUUAUCUUUAUUCUUAUUUAGUAAAUUGCAUGUGCUAAUGAUUUAUGUUGCUGACUGAUUUGUAGGUGAUAUGUUGUUUUUAGAGCAAUAAUUUGGUUAUACUUGUUAGUAUAUACGAGGUUGAACGAAAAUGAGUAUAGUAGGGUUUGAUAUGGGGAAUGAGAAUUGUGUUAUUGGUGUCGCUAAGCAAGGUGGAAUUGAUGUUUUGUUGAAUGAGGAAUCUAAUAGGGAAAUACCAGCUGUGGUGUCGUUUGGUGAGAAGCAAAGGUUUAUAGGUUUGGCAGGGGCUGCUUCUGCGACAAUGAACCCUAAAUCGACUAUUUCUCAGGUUAAAAGAAUGAUUGGUGUGAAAUUUAGGGAGAUGGAGGAGGAUCUUAGGUUGUUGCCUUUUGAGACUAGUGAGGGUCCUGAUGGUGGAAUUUUGAUUCAUGUACAGUACUUAAAUGAAAAACAUAGUUUUACUCCUGUUCAGAUACUGGCAAUGUUGUUUGCUCACUUAAAGCAAAUGUCGGAAAAAAGUCUUAUGACGUCUAUAUCAAAAUGUGUUAUUGGGACACCGUCGUAUUUCACGGAUCAACAAAGGCGUGCUUAUUUGGAUGCAGCAGAGAUUGCUGGAUUGCAUCCAUUAAGGCUGAUGCAUGAUUGUACUGCUAUUGCUUUAGGUUAUGGUAUCUACAGGACUGAGUUCCCCAGUAAAAGGCGUAGUACUGUUGUGUUUGUUGAUAUUGGUCAUUGUGAUACUCAGGUUACUGUUGCAGCAUUCCGACCUGGACAUAUGGAGAUCUUGUCUCAUUCUUUUGAUAGAAAUUUGGGAGGGAGAAAUUUUGAUGAGGUUUUGUUCAAACAUUUUGCUACAGAGUUCAAAGAGCACUAUAAUAUCGAUGUUUAUUCAAAUACCAGGGCCGCUGUAAGGCUGAGGGUUGCAUGCGAGAAGCUGAAGAAAGUUUUGAGUGCAAAUCCUGAAGCACCUCUUAAUAUUGAAUGUCUGAUGGAUGAGAAAGAUGUCAAGGGAUUCAUAAAGAGAGAAGAUUUUGAGAAGCUCUCUGCAGACUUGUUCGAAAGGAUUAGCCAUCCUUGUCAAAAGGCUUUGCUCGAUUCUGGUCUGUCUAUGGAUAAGAUUAAUUCUGUAGAGCUCAUCGGUUCUGGAUCUAGGAUACCAGCUGUUAAGAAGAUCUUAGCUUCUCUAUUUGGUACAGAACCUAGACGGACCCUUAAUGCAAGUGAGUGUGUGGCUCGUGGCUGUGCUAUUCAGUGUGCAAUGCUUAGUCCGAUAUACCGUGUCAAAGACUACGAGGUUCGUUAUAUUUCUUACAUCUUUAAAGUAUUGUACAUAUUUGCAAGCUAUUUAUUGGGUUUUUUUUUUGCAGAAGUUGUAAGGGGUGAAAAAUUGAUUUACCUACCUAUAUACUUGCCUGAUGAUUUUCUAGGCUAGUUAAAUGGUCGGUUUGUUGACUCAUACAAGAAAAAACUAAUAUUGCAAUCUGACCUCUAAAGGAUACACCUAAUUACCUUAACAGGUCUUCAGUGUUCCCUUUUUUAUACAUUGCUACUGAAUGAUCUACUCGGUUAUAGAAAAAGCUUUGGUUGAUUGUCUAUCAGACCGAUUUAACCGUGCUUGGUCCGGGCCAAUUGUUGCAUCUUGGCUCUAUAUGUUGCUGAUCUCAUAUUUGAUACAUGGAAGUGUUAGUUUAAAGUCUUUAUUAUAUAGCUGCGCUGUUGACAUACAUUUGCUAAUUUAUUAUGGAAUCAAAUACUGAUUGGUGCUUGUCGUUACAAAGUUGUAAGUCACAGGUCUUUGUAUGUAGUUCCUAAGUUCCUUAUUGCUGCAGUGGGAACCCAUCCCUACACUUAGAGAUAUAUGGAUCUAGAUUUGAUGACAGGGUCAAACUUUUCUGAGCAAUAUUGUAUGAACUUUAUAUAUGAAUGUCAUUCUUGUGUAGUUAUUUAAAGCUUACAAAAUUUAAUAUUUCACAUGAUCACGUCAUAUACAGGUCAAAGACUCAUUUCCUUUCUCCAUAGGACUUUCAUUAGAUGAAGGUCUAAUCAAUAAUUCAAAUGGGAUUCUUUUCCCGAAAGGCUGUCUCUUUCCAAGUGAAAAGAUCCUUCAACUGCAUAGAAGGAGUACAUUCCAUAUGGAAGCAUUUUAUGCUGAUCAAAAUGAAUUGCCUUCUGGUAUAUCACCCCAAAUCAGCAAAUUUAUUGUAAGUGUGCACCCCCUUUUUGUCGUUUUUUAAUAUUUUUUCUCAAAUCUGUAUUAAGGUUUUGAUAAAAUUAUGGUUUUAAUGCAUUGAAAUUUUUUUCCAUAAAAAGUGGGUUUCAACAAAUAAAGUGUAGUCACUUUGCAUGGUGAGUUAGGCUAAUGUUAGUAUGCACUUCUCCCCGGUAUUUAGAGGUUCGCUUGUGUAUCUAUAUCCUUCAUUUGUGGUAUAUGCGCUUGUGAAUAUGUUUAUGGGUAUAAAGACUCUGAUUUUGAUUAUCUUGGAGCUUGCAUUAAGAUAAUUGACUUUGAAUAAUCCAAAAUAUGUCACUGUCUGGUUGUUUUGUCGGGUUAUAACUAAAGGGGAUUAUGGUUUUACUGGGAUUGUUCUGAUUGACUUAACAAGCUUCCGUAAUCCUUUGGCCAUUCUUUUAAAAAGAUCUUGCCUUGACUAAGGUAAUAGCCAUCCAUUUGGAUUCUGCUUGUACCUGAAUCUGAGCAUUAUAAUGUUUCUAUAGUCAAAAGAUAGGACAGGUUAUAUAUUUUUCCUCAUUAAAGAUAUAUGUGUCCCUGGUAUUUACAAUUUUCUAUAGAAUUUCUCACUUAAAUGAAUUUUUUUUAAUCCACAGGAUAUUUUAAAGAACAACUAAGACAACUAAAAAGUUUAAUAAAAUGCCUUCCACCUUCCAGUCUUCCACACACAGGAAAUAUAUGUUAGACCAUGUUUUCUUAUUUAGUUUUAUUUAUUUAUUAUAUAUGAAAGUGAAGAUUUGCUACAUAACUUUGUAGAUUGGUCCCUUACAAGUGUCUGAUGCAGAAAAAGUUAAGGUUAAAUUGAAUGUCUGAUGGAUGAGAAAGAUGUCAAGGGAUUCAUAAAGAGAGAAGAUUUUGAGAAGCUCUCUGCAGACUUGUUCGAAAGGAUUAGCCAUCCUUGUCAAAAGGCUUUGCUCGAUUCUGGUCUGUCUAUGGAUAAGAUUAAUUCUGUAGAGCUCAUCGGUUCUGGAUCUAGGAUACCAGCUGUUAAGAAGAUCUUAGCUUCUCUAUUUGGUACAGAACCUAGACGGACCCUUAAUGCAAGUGAGUGUGUGGCUCGUGGCUGUGCUAUUCAGUGUGCAAUGCUUAGUCCGAUAUACCGUGUCAAAGACUACGAGGUUCGUUAUAUUUCUUACAUCUUUAAAGUAUUGUACAUAUUUGCAAGCUAUUUAUUGGGUUUUUUUUUUGCAGAAGUUGUAAGGGGUGAAAAAUUGAUUUACCUACCUAUAUACUUGCCUGAUGAUUUUCUAGGCUAGUUAAAUGGUCGGUUUUUUUUUUAAGUAAUUUUAUUAAUAUUCAUAGUUAGUAAAAUAGCUUUAAAAGAUAUUAUUAGCAAUUAUUGUAUUAUUAACUAGCUUUUUGCUCGUGCUUCGCACACGAAAAUUGUUGAUGUUCCAUUUAAUUUUUAUAAAUUUCAACCAGUUUUUGACCGUGACAAAAAAUAUUAUUGACGGAUAUUACAAUUACAAAUUACCCUCAUAAUAACAUGUAGAUAAUUAAUAUUUGUGCACGUGCUUCGCACACACACGAAAAUUUUCUAUGCUCCAUUCCAAAAUUUUAAAUUAUUAGUGAUUAUCGACGAUGAAAAAAAAUAUUAUUUUGAAAGGUCACGGUCAAAAUUGCUUCUCUGAAUAAUAUGCCUAGUGCUUCGCAUACGGUUGUUUUUUUAUCCACCAAUUUGUAAUAAAAAUAUUAAGUCAUGUUUAGAAAUAAUUCAAAUAUAUAUACACACACACACACAAGCAUGAUUAUACAUAUUAUUCAUGAAAUGUUAACUUAAAAAUAAAAAUAUAUAAUUAAAAAAAUAAGUUAAGAUUUUAAUUGUACUCGCUUCUUAGCAUCUCCUCAAUUACAUACUUCUAUCAUAAAAUUAUUAAAAUGCAUUUCGUGUUUAAACAUUUAUAAACUUAUACUCCCUCCGUCCCAAUUUAUAGGUCCAGUUUGGAAAAAAAAUUUGUCUCAAAAUACUUGUCCCUCUCUUCUUUCAAUACAAAUUUAUCUACAUAUUAAUUGUGAUUUUUUUAAAACUCAACAUUAUUCUCAUUUCUCAAUGUACUAACUCCCUAUAUUUAUUGUGAUUUUUUUGAAACUCAACUAUAUUCUCACUUAUCAAUGCACUAAUUAAUGAUACAUGAGAUAAGAUUCUGUCUAACCAACUUUUUUCUUAAUAUGUGUGUUUAUUCCAAAAUGGACCUAUAAAUUGAGACGGAGGGAGUAAUUAUUUAAAAAAAAUUGGAAAAUUAUAAUUAUAGUUAAAAUAUCAUAAGUCAUUAAUCAAAAAAAAUUGAAAAAUUAUAAUUAUAGUUAAAAUGUCAUAAGUCAUUAAUCAUUGAUAUAUGAUCCCGAGGUAGAAAACAAAUCGAACAUCUCGUAUGCAAGGUCGCAGUGAUCUGUGAAUAAUCAGAAAAUGAAGCCAAAUGCGCUACAACACAUCCUCGGAGCGUAGGUUUCAAAUCAUGUCUCCACUAAUCGAGGAAUUCAAAAUUCAAAUUAAUAUGAAAGAUAAUAGGAAUGAGAGAGUAAUCAAGCAUCCACGAAUCAAGGAAUUUAAAUUUCAAACUGAUAAGAGCAUCUCCAACCAUCUAAAACCCUUGGCUAAAAGAUGAGUUGGCUUACUUAAAAUAAAAAAAUUUAGCCAACAGCUCCAAAAACUCAACUCCAACCAUGCUCACCUGUUGUGUAUAAAUUUAGCCAAUCUCUUAUGGAUGGCUAAAUUUGUCGAACCUCUACAGGUCUGUAAGAAAAUCUGUAGGAAGAUUGUACAUCAUUUAUUACCAUAUUGAACUGAUAUAUUCUAUUUUAACAAUUUAAAAUAUUAAUAACAUACUAUUUUUAAAUUAUAGCCAACCAAUAUAGCCAGUACCAUUGAAACAAAAUGUCUUACAGGUUCAGCAAAUUUUACAUAAUGUCUUACAUGUCCAAUUUAGCCAACGAUUAUAGCCAACGCCGUUGGAGAUGCUCUAAGAAGAUAAUAGUGUUGUGCGUGAAAGGGGCAGUUGGAGAAUCAGAUGAAAGUUACAUGCUUUCUUGGAGUAAUGCUUCCUAGACCCGUUUGUAUAUGGAUCAUCCAGCAAAUUGUCAAAAAAAUAUUUAGAAACAGGUGGGUUUAGCCCGUUUAAAAAUGGGUAGUCCAAUGAUUUUGUCAAAAAAAAAAUGGGUAGUCCAAUGAUAAAGGCUAAUGCUAGCAAGAAUUUAGAAUAUAUUAAAUUGAAUAUUGAUAUUGAUAAUUAAUAAUAAUUAUGUGAAAUAAAAUAAUAAUAUUCAAAUUUAUUACUCCCAUUGCCCAAGUGUCAUAUAGUUCGUCAAUUUGAAAUAUGCAUUCAGAAAAGUUCUGCAAAAGUGAAAUCAUAUAACAAAUAUAUUUCUUUCUUUUUCAAAAUUUGUAGUACAUGAAAAUUAAAUAUGAUCUUUUACAAUCUACCUGCAGCACGAUUAGGGUUUAUCCAUUAUAUUUAAACUGAUAUUGUUUGAUUAGUUCAACAACUUAAAUCCAGGUUAAAAUUUUGGUUGAACUGAUUACUUAAUUUAACAAUAAAGUUUUGACAAAAAAAGAAUAAAACUUAACAACAGGCUCGAAGUUCCUGGAAGUUAUUUUUAUUAAUCCGGCUACACAUUUUCUCUCCGUUCCUUUUCUCUCACUCUCUCUCAAAACCUAGCCGUCAUCACAUAUUUUUGAAUGGGCUUCCAUCAGUUUCCACCGGUGGAAAGCCCUGAUUUCUUUUCUUCUACUUUCUUAUUUUGAAAUCUUAUUUUCUAUUCAAUAAGUUCCCAAUUUAUUUGGGUUUUGUUAGUCUCUCCUUCUUGUGAGAGUUGGUUUGUUUUGUUUUGGUGUGUUUUUAUGUUUUUCAUGACCGAGGUUAUAGAUCGGCAUGAUUUUCAUGGGUUUGAUUCAGGUUUGAAGGUUAUUAUGGGAUCGCAUCUAUGGUCGAUUGUUCAGAACAUUCAGGUGAAAACCAAUCAGAUGGAAACAAGUGUGUAUAUUCAAAUCAUCUUCAAAUCGCUUAGUUGCCUCUUCAAGAAGGAAGGAUUCAACAGCGAUAUUAUUCGGCGUCUGUCCAAUUUCGAUUAUAUUUGUAGAUGCCGUAUAACUUUUAAUUAAUGAAUUGAUGAAUUGAUUCAUUUUUAUCAAAAAAAACAGGCUCGAAGUUCCGAAAAUCCGGCUGAACUCAGCAUCAAAUAUCAAAUUUUAAAUUUAUAAUUCAAAAGAUGUGAUUUGGAAAAUCAAUAUACUUAUAUAAAGGAGAAGCGAGGGGCGUGUAGGUGGCGCCUCUCACAUCGCUCCGUUCUAUUUUUCUAAUUUUUUGGAAUUUUUUGAUGAAAAAUAUCAAAAAUUAGAACUACCUUUUUUAAUUUCGGGUAUAUUUGAAGAAAGUUUCGGAAUCUAAUUUUGUUUCAAAUUAUUUAUGGAAUGUAGUAACUUGAAAUUUUAAUCUAAUUUAGUUUCAGAUUAUUUAAUUAUGGGAAAGAGAAGCACACAAGUCUCUCUACACCUAUAAAUACCCUAUAGAUUGUUGGGUUUUGGAUCAUCUAAACACAAGCUACUCUCUUUAUAUUUGGAUCAUCUAAACACAAGCUCCUCUCUUUCAAUACCACAACCCUCACAUCGCUCCGUUCUAUUUUUCUAAUUUUUUGGAAUUUUUUGAUGAAAAAUAUCAAAAAUUAGAACUAUCUUUUUUAAUUUCGGGUAUAUUAGAAAAAAGUUUCGGAAUCUGAUUUUGUUGCAAAUUAUUUAUGGAAUAUAGUAACUUGAAAUUUUAAUCUGAUUUAGUUUCAGAUUAUUUAAUUAUGGGAAAUAGUAGCACCCAAGUCUCUCUGCACUUAUAAAUACCCCUAUAGAUUGUGGGUUUUGGAUCAUCUAAAUACAAGCUCCUCUCUUUCAAUACCACAACCCUACCUCUCUCGGGUGAUAGUUCUAUUUGCUCGAUUUUUAACUUGGUGGUGCCGUUGUUCUGCAACGAUAAGUGAAGGUUGUUUAUGCAGUAUUAAAAAAAUAAAGGUGGUUGCAAGUAAAGGUAGUUAUAGACCGUUAUAUGGGAGUCUACAAAUCCAAACACGAGAAAAGAAUAUAAUCUUGACAUGAUAUUGAUGGAUGAUAUCAAUAAAUUAACUAUCAGUGAUGUCUGUUUUUGGUUAUUCUUUUAUAAUAUUUGUUUUGUUCAUCAGACAUGUUUGCGGUUAAUUUUUAUAUGAUCUACUUUGUACACAGGAAAGCCACAAAAUUAUUUUAUUCUACAAAUAUUAGUAUUGAAUCAUUAAUAUAAAUUUUAUAGGCCGCCGCAAUGCGCGGAUUCUCAACUAGUAUGUUAAAUAAAGAGGCAUAACAGACAAGUUCUUCGCUACGAAUGAACCCAAUCGAGGAAGGCCCUUGGUUAAGGAAGAGUAGUUAAAAUAAUAUUUAUUAAUUUUUGUUUAUUUGAAUGAAAUAAAAAUUAUAGAAUAAUUUUAUGAAAUAUAAGAAAUUAUGAAAUAAUAAAUAUGAAUAAGUCAAAAAAUUUAUAAUUAGAGAAUGAAAAAGUAAAAUGAGUGUUUCUUUUAAAAUAUAUGGAUUAAUUUCCGGUGCAAGUAAUUUAGGGCGAAAUAACCGAACAAACGAAAACUAUAGAUAUAUUUAUUCAUCAAAUUUAUAAUAUAAAUUCUAUUAUAUUUCCUUCAUUCCGGCGGUAAGAGAUAGUUGCAUUUCCAAGAUAUAAAUUGAUACUCCCUUCGUCCGGCAAUACAUGUCUUUUUUGAAAAAAUUAUGCAUAUUAAAUAUUAAUUAGAUAAAAUUUUCUCACUUGUACCCCUUCAUUAAUUGUUACUCCCUCCGUCCCGGUCAUUUCUAUACCGUUUCCUUCUUGGGACGUCCUAUCAUUUUUAUACAUUCCUAAAAUAGCAACUUUUAAUAAUGUAAAACACUAUUGCACCAACUACUUUCUUCCACUAUCUUCAUUUUAUAAUAAUAUAAACACUGUUACACCCACUACUUUCCCCCACUAUCAAACAUCUAUAAUUAAAUACAAAUGGGUCCCAUCACUUUACUAACUUUUCAUCUAACUUUACUCAUUUUUAACACUUUUUCCUGAUCUCCGUGUCCACACCAAAUGUAUGCUACCUAUUGGGAUGGAGGGAGUAUACAACUUUCAAAAUGAGGAAUUUUGGAAUAAUGUCAGUAUAUUUGCAUUGAAAAUUAAAAGUGGACAAGUACUAUGAGACAAAAAUUUCUUUUAAAAAAACAUGUAUUGUGAAACGGAAGAGUAUAUUUAUUUAUUGAAAAUUCCGAAUCAAUUAAGUUUCUCGAAAAAAAUCCACUUAUUGCAUGUUGUUUGUGAAAAGUGGAACCGCCGUCGCCACGACGCCACGCAUGAACUAUUCGAGAGAUACAUGCAUACAUCCCUUCGCAAGCAUUCAACCUCAAAUACUAUGAAAAUAAUGUGGGUGUUUGUUUAGAACUUAUAAGUUCAGCUUCUGGAUUAUAAGUUAUGAGCACAUAUUUGUACCGUUUGUGUAAUAAAUUAAGAAGUAUUUAUAAAAAGUUAGGAAUGCUAGCUUUUGUUUCAGGAAUUCUACUUAUUUCCAGACACUUUAAUCACUUAUAAGUUUUAUCUUGCUUUUAACUUCUACUCCACUUAUUUAUUUUAAACAAGAAGCACUUAUUUUAAACUCAUCCAAACGGCCCCAAUAUUCCAUGCCACUUAUUUAUUUCAUUAGCGGGGGACAAAUUCUAACUUCCACUUUUUACCCGUAUUCAAUGACGGAGCGAGGAAGAAUUUUUAGAGGGAGUAAAAAUAUAAAUACUAUUUAAACUCAAAAAUAGUAUACGUUAAAUUUUAUAGUAACUUUAGUGAUAAAAAUCUAUUUAUUUUGGGUUUUUAUGAGAAAACUCAAUCGUUUCAUUAAGAAAAUUUAAUUAUUUAAUUACCAAAUCGUUGAGGACAGAAACUUAAGAGAAUGAGUUGCAAAUAUGGAGACUCAUCGACACGACAGGAAAAGUAAAAAGAUAUUGUCUAACAUCAAAGUCUAUAUUAUUAAAAUAUAUAAUAAAUGAUAUAAUUUUAUUUUAUAGAGUUAAGUUCUAUGGAGUACAAAAAAAAUUGGAGUAUUGGAGUACAAAGUUUGAUAAAAUGUAAUCUAGUCAUCUAAAUUUUAAUUUUUUUUGUCCAAUAAUAUUUGUAAAUAUUUGACAACCUGCACAUUAUGUUCUGCAACAUAAACAUCGUGAUCAAAUGCUAGAAUAAUUACUUUUAUAAAUCAUAGGACUCUAUGUUCUGCAAUAUAACUAAUAAGCAGAACAAUAAUCUUAAUAUUUGUUAAACUUGAAAGAUUUUAAUGAUUAAUUGACAAUUAUGUGCAAGACAACUUAUAAAUGAUAGAUUAUAUCAAAAAUUGGAUAAUCAAAAAUAUUAUAUAGGAUCAAACUAAAAAAUUAUGAUUUGUACUCCAAUACUCCAAUGUUUUUAUGUACUCCAUAGAACUUAACUAUUAUUUUAUAAACUAAAUAAAUACAACUACUAUAAUAUUACUCCCUCCGUCCCCCUCAAUUGUUUACAUAGGAGGGGGACACGGAGACCAAGACAAUGUAUGGAAAAUGAGUAAAGUUAGAUGAAAAGUGGGUAAAGUGGUGGGACCUACCAAUAUUUAAUAAUAGAUUUGAGAUAGUGGAGGGAAGUAGUGGGUGUAAGAGCAUCUCCAAGAGACUCUUUAUUUAGGCUCCUAACUUGAGAUUUGAGGAGGGAGAGGAAAAAUGUUGCUCCAAAAGACUCUUAAGUGGCUCUUAAAUCUUAAGAGCCUCUUGUUUCUCUCUCCUCUCUCCUCAAAGUUAAGAGCAUCUCCAAGAGGCUCUUCAUUUAGGCUCCUAACUUGAGAUUUGAGGAGGGAGAAACAAAAUGUUGCUCCAAGAGACUCUUAAGUGGCUCUUAAAUCUUAAGAGACUCUUGUUUCUCUCUCCUCUCUCCUCAAAGUUAAGAGCCACCACAUGGCUCCUAACUUAUUUUUUCACAAUAAAAAAUCCUUCCCUCCAAUCAACUUCCAUCUUUCCCUCUCUUUUGUUAUAGUGGAGCCCAAUAUAUUAAUAAAAUAUGAAAUAUAGAAGAGAUAUAGAGAGUAUUGUUGGAGUUUACACUCUUAACUUUGUCCUAAAUUACUAAGAGCCACAUUUUUUAUAUUAUAUUUAGGAGCCAACAAGGAGGCUCUUGGAGAUGCUCUAAGAGCCACCACAUGGCUCCUAACUUAUUUUUUUACAAUAAAAAAAUCUUUCCCUCCAAUUCAUCUCCAUCUUUCACUCUCUUUUGUUGUAGUGGAGCCCAAUAUAUGAAUAAAAUAUUAAAUAGAGGAGAGAUGUAGAGAGUAUUGUUGGAGUUUACACUCUUAACUUUGUUCUAAAUUGCUAAGAGCCACAUUUUUUAUAUUAUAUUUAGGAGCCAACAAGGAGGCUCUUGGAGAUAGUAGGGGAAGAUAGUGGGUGUAAUGAUGAGAAAAACUUACUAUUUAUAGUAAUGUAAAGAAAUGAGAGGGACAUCCCAAAAUAAUAAGUGUAAAGAAAUGAGAGGGACAGAGGGAGUAUAUGUAAGGCUACAUUCGCAAAUGAAAUAUUUUUUUAAUAUUAUAUAAACAAAAGAAAUUAAAAAUCCAGGAGGGGGCUGGGGUGGCCCCCCUUCCGUCUCUCCCCUUCUCGAUGAUAAAUGUGACCACCCAAAAUAAUACAUUAGAUUGUGAAUAAUUUUUACUGCUAAGUUCCUUAAAUAAAACUAUAAUAUAUAAUAGACAAAUAGGCUCAUGAAACAAAGACAAUGACAGAAAGUUAGUAUGGCCAAAAUCGAAGUCAAACAAGCCGAGGCCCUUUGGCAGUAAAUCCAGGCUUCACAUAGAUCAUCAAUAGUAAUAGCUAGCAUACGCUGGGCGCCAUUGUUCGAGUACAAGUCCAACUCGAGCCCAAUUCGAAGCUAAUGGGGUUGUUAAAAUCAAUGGGAGUCGCAAUUUAUCGAGGAUCUAUCAGAAAUUAUUUAUUAAAUUUGCGAUUUUAAUCAAAAUAAGUUUAAUUAAUAAAUUGAUAGAAUAUUUUUGAGGAAUAUCAGAGAUUUUUCAUAAAUCAUAAAAUUUUAAUAAAUAAAGAAUUUUUAGAAUAUUACAAAAUCAAAUCCCAAAUUCACGAUUUUUUUUUAUCACAUGUGUUUUGAAUAAUAAAAAGUCAAAUCUCAAAUUCACGACUUUUUUUAUCAUAUGUGUUUCGAACUUCCAUACACUCUUGUAUAGAAAAAUAAAAAAUUAUUAGUAAAUCACAAAUAACAAAUUUAAAUUUAUUAUAUAAAAAUAAAAUAUUUAUGACUGGAAAGUUGAACACGGUAUGCGGUUUUAGCAAAAACAAUUGUCUUUAUUAUCAUAAUAACAAAUAUUCGCAUCCGUAUGUUACAUGGUCCUCUGACAGCAUGACAAUUCUAUGCAAAGAAAAGCAUGCCACUUUUGCAUUUUUCUUCUUUUUGAAGGAAAGGCAUGCCACUUUAAUAGAUACCUUCACUUUCAUUUUCUUAUUUUGUUUCAUUUACACAAAAAUAUCAAUUUAAAAAGGCAAAAUUAAAGACGAGGUGAUCAUUACAAUCUGGUACAUACAGCUGCACCAUUUCAUCUGUCAUGUCAUCUGCACUGUAUUCGUCUGUCACAGGAAGUAGCAUCACAGCCAGUAUCUUUAGUAGUUAAACCUCAAUACUGGAGUAAUUUUAUUAUGUACUGUAUAUCAUAUUUACAAGGUCAUCCACAAACACACAAGUUACAGAGCAUCUUGUUAUUCUCUCACUCUUCACUCUCAGGUAAGCAAGCUCCUUGUAUAUCUAUUUUAUUUUCAUUGUCAGGUGCUUAGUGUGUUAAUUUAAUUGCGUUUUUUACUUGAUUAACUUGUGUGAGUUUCACCAUCACUUAAUCUCAUCUCAGGGUUUGAGUUGUUUUAAAUAUCUCAUAUGUAUGUUACAGAGAACUGAGAAGGGAUGGCCAUGGAUAUCACCCAAGCCCUUUUAUCUUCUUUUAUGUCAGUAGAUUCAACGGUGCGGAGUGAGGCGAUGGGCGCGCUUAAGAAAUUUGAAGAAGAUAAUCCAGAAUAUUAUCUUCUGUCCUUGGUGGUUGAGUUAUCUAAUGACACAAAGCCGGAUGCAAGUCGUAAGUUGGCUGGAAUAAUGUUGUUGGACUUGAUACCGAAUUUUGCUGUGCGCCCGGCAUUUGAGUUUUUUGAGGAUGAUGAAAGUGAAGACGAUGAGGAGGGAGAUGUUGAACAUGUUGACGAAGACGGUGAGGAGGAAAGUGAUGAUCAAAUUAAAGUUGAAUAUCUGGAUGAUCAAAUUAAAGUUGAAUAUCCGGAGUCUGAUGAUGAGGAGGAAGAUGAUGAUGAUGUUGAAGACGUAGAUGAUGAGGAAGAUGAUGUUGAUGUUGAAGACGUAGAUGAUGAUCAAGUUGAAAUGCAAGAGGGUGAGGAGGAGGCGAUGGAGAGGGAGAGGGAGUUGGUUGAGGAGGAGGCGUAUAAGAGGGAGUUCGAGUUGAAGAGGAACAAAAUUAUGAAAUUUUCUGUUUAUUGGCGUAAAAUGG
rnacentral:lncRNA from 1 species